CUAUGCGCCUUGCCAGACCCGCUCAGAAACUCAAAGGAAUUGACGGGGGCCCGCACAAGCGGUGGAGCAUGUGGGUUUAAUUCGAUGAUACGCGAGGAACCUUACCUGGGCUCAAAUGUAUGUUGACGUAUUCUGAAAGGGAUACUUCUUCGGACAAUAUACAAGGUGCUGCAUGGUUGUCGUCAGCUCGUGUCGUGAGAUGUUGGGUUAAGUCCCGUAACGAGCGCAACCCUUGUCCUUAGUUACCAGCACGUUAUGGUGGGCACUCUAAGGAGACUGCCGGUGACAAACCGGAGGAAGGUGGGGAUGACGUCAAGUCAUCAUGGCCCUUACGGCCUGGGCUACACACGUGCUACAAUGGUCGGUACAAAGGGUUGCCAAGCCGCGAGGUGGAGCUAAUCCCAUAAAACCGAUCGUAGUCCGGAUCGCAGUCUGCAACUCGACUGCGUGAAGUCGGAAUCGCUAGUAAUCGUGAAUCAGAAUGUCACGGUGAAUACGUUCCCGGGCCUU
rnacentral:rRNA from 1 species